AUACGGAGGGUGCGAGCGUUAAUCUGAAUUACUGGGCGUAAAGCGUACGUAGGCGGUUGGUUAAGUUAGAUGUGAAAGCCCCGGGCUUAACCUGGGAACUGCAUUUAAAACUGGCGAACUAGAGUUGAGUAGAGGGGAGUGGAAUUUCAGGUGUAGCGGUGAAAUGCGUAGAGAUCUGAAGGAACACCAGUGGCGAAGGCGACUCCCUGGACUCGAACUGACGCUGAGGUACGAAAGCGUGGGUAGCAAACGGGAUUAGAUACCCGAGUAGUCC
rnacentral:rRNA from 1 species